CUCGUAGGCGGUUCGUCGCGUCCGGUGUGAAAGUCCAUCGCUUAACGGUGGAUCUGCGCCGGGUACGGGCGGGCCGGAGUGCGGUAGGGGAGACUGGAAUUCCCGGUGUAACGGUGGAAUGUGUAGAUAUCGGGAAGAACACCAAUGGCGAAGGCAGGUCUCUGGGCCGUCACUGACGCUGAGGAGCGAAAGCGUGGGGAGCGAACA
rnacentral:rRNA from 1 species